UAGAGUUUGAUCCUGGCUCAGGACGAACGCUGGCGGCGUGCUUAACACAUGCAAGUCGAACGGGGAUUUAGAGGAGCUUGCUUCUCGAAGAUCCCAGUGGCGGACGGGUGAGUAACGCGUGGGCAAUCUGCCCGUAAGAGGGGGAUAACAUCGGGAAACCGGUGCUAAUACCGCAUAAUAUCUGUAUACCGCAUGGUAGGCAGAUUAAAGGAGCGAUCCGCUUACGGAUGAGCCCGCGUCUGAUUAGCUAGUUGGUGGGGUAACGGCCUACCAAGGCGACGAUCAGUAGCCGGCCUGAGAGGGUGACCGGCCACACUGGAACUGAGACACGGUCCAGACUCCUACGGGAGGCAGCAGUGGGGAAUCUUCCGCAAUGGGCGAAAGCCUGACGGAGCAACGCCGCGUGAGCGAAGAAGGCCUUCGGGUUGUAAAGCUCUGUCAUCAGGGAAGAAGAGAGUGACGGUACCUGAGGAGGAAGCCACGGCUAACUACGUGCCAGCAGCCGCGGUAAUACGUAGGGGGCAAGCGUUGUCCGGAAUCACUGGGUGUAAAGGGCGUGUAGGCGGAUGAAUAAGUUGGAUGUGAAAGCCCCCGGCUCAACCGGGGAGGGUCAUCCAAAACUGUUCAUCUUGAGUCCAGUAGGGGGUGGUGGAAUUCCUGGUGUAGCGGUGAAAUGCGUAGAUAUCAGGAAGAACACCGGAGGCGAAGGCGGCCACCUGGGCUGGAACUGACGCUGAGGCGCGAAAGCGUGGGGAGCAAACAGGAUUAGAUACCCUGGUAGUCCACGCUGUAAACGAUGGGCACUAGGUGCUGGCAUGGUGAAUGUCGGUGCCGCAGCUAACGCAUUAAGUGUCCCACCUGGGGAGUACGCUCGCAAGGGUGAAACUCAAAGGAAUUGACGGGGGCCCGCACAAGCGGUGGAGCAUGUGGUUUAAUUCGAUGCAACGCGCAGAACCUUACCGGGGCUUGAACUGCAGGUUAGCCAUCCUGAAAGGGUAUGGUGGCCAGGCUUGCCUGGCGUCCUGUGGAGGUGCUGCAUGGCUGUCGUCAGCUCGUGUCGUGAGAUGUUGGGUUAAGUCCCGCAACGAGCGCAACCCUUGCCCUUAGUUGCUCGGCCGUCGGGUCAGCACUCUAAGGGGACUGCCGGUGAUAAACUGGAGGAAGGUGGGGAUGACGUCAAGUCCUCAUGGCCCUUACGUCCCGGGCUACACACGUGCUACAAUGGGCGGUACAACGGGCAGCGACACUGCGAGGUGAAGCAAAUCCCUGAAAACCGUCCUCAGUACGGAUUGCAGUCUGCAACUCGACUGCAUGAAGUCGGAAUCGCUAGUAAUCGCGGAUCAGCAACGCCGCGGUGAAUACGUUCCCGGGCCUUGUACACACCGCCCGUCACGCCAUGGAAGUCGGCAAUACCCGAAGCCGGUGACCUAACCCGCAAGGGAAGGAUCCGUCGAAGGUAGGGCUGAUGACUGGGGCGAAGUCGUAACAAGGUAACCA
rnacentral:rRNA from 1 species